rnacentral:rRNA from 1 species
AUUGAACGCUGGCGGCAGGCCUAACACAUGCAAGUCGAACGGUAGCACAGAGAGCUUGCUCUCGGGUGACGAGUGGCGGACGGGUGAGCAAUGUCUGGGAAACUGCCCGAUGGAGGGGGAUAACUACUGGAAACGGUAGCUAAUACCGCAUAACGUCGCAAGACCAAAGUGGGGGACCUUCGGGCCUCACACCAUCGGAUGUGCCCAGAUGGGAUUAGCUAGUAGGUGGGGUAAUGGCUCACCUAGGCGACGAUCCCUAGCUGGUCUGAGCGGAUGACCAGCAACACUGAAACUGGGACACGGUCCAGACUCCUACGGGAGGCAGAAGUGGGGAAGAUUGCACAAUGGGCGCAAGCCUGAUGCAGCCAUGCCGCGUGUAUGAAGAAGGCCUUCGGGUUGUAAAGUACUUUCAGCGGGGAGGAAGGCGGUGAAGUUAAUAACUUCACCGAUUGACGUUACCCGCAGAAGAAGCACCGGCUAACUCCGUGCCAGCAGCCGCGGUAA